UCAAAAUAUUUUUGUAUCAUAACAUAUCAUAAUUUUCACUGAACAUAUGCAUAAUCAAUAAAUCAUAGUAUUUCGGAAUCACUUUUCAUUCAAAACAUAAUUUCAUAAAUCAUGCAUAAUUUCAAAGAAUAACUAUUUAAUCUUCAGAAUAAAUAUAAAAUAUCUCAAAAAGAUGAUUCAUUACUUACCUUUCACAGACCACCGAAUGAAUAG
rnacentral:lncRNA from 1 species